rnacentral:rRNA from 1 species
AACGAACGCUGGCGGCAUGCCUAACACAUGCAAGUCGAACGAGACCUUCGGGUCUAGUGGCGCACGGGUGCGUAACGCGUGGGAACCUGCCCUUAGGUUCGGAAUAACUCCCCGAAAGGGGUGCUAAUACCGGAUAAUGUCUUCGGACCAAAGAUUUAUCGCCUUUGGAUGGGCCCGCGUUGGAUUAGCUAGUUGGUAGGGUAAAAGACUACCAAGGCGACGAUCCAUAGCUGGUCUGAGAGGAUGAUCAGCCACACUGGGACUGAGACACGGCCCAGACUCCUACGGGAGGCAGCAGUGGGGAAUAUUGGACAAUGGGCGAAAGCCUGAUCCAGCAAUGCCGCGUGAGUGAUGAAGGCCUUAGGGUUGUAAAGCUCUUUUAACCGGGAUGAUAAUGACAGUACCGGGAGAAUAAGCGACGGCUAACUACGUG